rnacentral:rRNA from 1 species
UACAGGGGGCUCGAGCGUUAGUCGGAAUCACUGGGCUUAAAGGGUGCGUAGGCGGCCCGCCAAGUGCUUUGUGAAAUCCCCGAGCUCAACUCGGGAACUGCAGGGCAAACUGGUGGGCUUGAAGCAGGUAGGGGCUGGAAGAACAGUUGGUGGAGCGGUGAAAUGCGUAGAGAUCUGGAGGAAUACCGGUGGCGAAGGCGGCCCCCUGGACAAAGACUGACGCUCAGGUGCGAAAGCGUGGGGAGCAAACAGG